CUCAUCUCUCUCAAGCGUGCGCCUUCGCCUUGCGCCUUGCGCCUUGCACCUAGGCUCCAAGACACCUUCGCGACUUGGUGCGCCUUAAGCCUCUAAUAACUAUGGUGAAAAUCUAACGAGCCAAGCAGGAGCUAUUUAAAUCUUGACUCAACUUAUUUCGUUUACAACCCUAACCAGAUCCAUGCACAUAAACUUUACUUGCCUACUUGCCCUCAAAUAUCUUCUCCUUCUCCACUCUCUCCCCCAUAGAUAACAUCAUGCACACAAGUUGUCACUCAAAUCACAAAUCCAGGCAAUUUGGCUUCCAAUUCUGUUAUAAGGGAUAGUUCCUACAAUAUAAACCCAUCAAAAGAACCAUUUAUUUGUAAAAAAGAUGGUUGAAGGGGGCUACCCAAGUGCAAACAUUUUUUUAGUGGCUUUUGCAUAUAAAGCACAUUCAGCAAUAAUGAAUUUCAAAGUUGAGUAAAUCCUUAGUGUAUCUUACAAUCUGGAUUUGGUUUAAUCCCUUUUGUGUAAUCUUCAUUGUUGAAUUUCUAUGCAAAGUGUGAGGAAUUAAGGCUUGCAAGCAAGGUACUUAAUGAAAUUACUAACAGGAAUCUGGUUUCUUUAAGAUAAGUGGCUAUGCAAGGGAAUGGCCAAGAUAUAACUCAUCAGAGCUCUUCCAUAGUAAGAAGAUGUGUGAUCAUUUCUGGCGUCUAGUUUAACAAUCUAUCAACUAAGGACUUAUGUAAGAUGUUAUAAAUAAAAGUUCAGGAAUGUAAUUGAUAAAAAUUAAAGUCUGAGAACUCGACCAGAAAAACAACUAAAGUUACUUCUUAAAUUUAUUCCAAUACUAGUUUACCCGGAGACCACUUUUCACAGAUUGAAAAGAGACCUUCACUUCACUUUUCACAGAUUGAAAAGAGACCUUCACUU
rnacentral:misc_RNA from 1 species